GUUGGUGAACCAGCGGAGGGAUCAUUACCGAGUUAUUACUCCAAACCCUUUGUGAACCUUACCAUUUUGUUGCUCGGCGUACCGCGGGCCGCGGCUUCGGCCCGUCCCGCAGCGCGCCAGAGGACCCAACUCUUCAAUUUAUAGCGUACCUUCUGAUUUACAAAACAAACAAGUUAAAACUUUCAACAACGGAUCUCUUGGUUCUG
rnacentral:misc_RNA from 1 species